rnacentral:rRNA from 1 species
UACAGAGGGUGCGAGCGUUGUCCGGAAUCACUGGGCGUAAAGGGCGCGUAGGUGGCGGCCCAAGUCCAUGGUGAAAGCUCGAUGCUCAACAUCGAGUCGGCCACGGAUACUGGGUUGCUCGAGCACUGUAGGGGCAGAUGGAAUUCCGGGUGUAGCGGUGGAAUGCGUAGAGAUCCGGAAGAACACCGGUGGCGAAGGCGGGUCUGCUGGGCAGUUGCUGACACUGGAGGCGCGACGAGCGGUGGGGAGCAAACAGGG